UGAUAAAAAGAGGACUUAAACCCCUGUUAGUGGGUCUACGGCCCACCGCCUAAACUCUCGGCCAUUUUACC
rnacentral:tRNA from 1 species